rnacentral:tmRNA from 1 species
GGGGCUGACCGGUUUCGACAGCAAGACCAAUGGGUAGGUAAGCAUGCAGAGAACCGUAGUGCGAUCUCUAUAAUCCCUUGCUACAAAUUUUUAACUGGCAACGAAGAGUAUGCUCUUGCUGCUUAAUCCGAAGAUUAGUAAGAUUAGCGUUUUUCCCGAAGUAUAGUAAGGAAACAAGAUGUCUCGCGAAAGUUACGUUCCACAACGUUCGAGUACGAGGCAUAGGAAAAGUGGAAAUAAGCCCAAAAAGACUUCGGUUUUGGGACGAAAAUUUUUAGAAGAUAAGUCGUAGGUUGGGCGUUUACUCUCUGCCAACGAACGAAAAUUAAGAGUAAAAUAAGCAUGUAGAAAGCUUGCGUAUUGCUUGUUUGGACGAGAGUUCGAAUCUCUCCAGCUCCACAA